GUAAGGUGAUAUGAACCGUUAUAACCGGCGAUUUCCGAAUGGGGAAACCCAGUGUGAUUCGUCACACUAUCAUUAACUGAAUCCAUAGGUUAAUGAGGCGAACCGGGGGAACUGAAACAUCUAAGUACCCCGAGGAAAAGAAAUCAACCGAGAUUCCCCCAGUAGCGGCGAGCGAACGGGGAGGAGCCCAGAGCCUGAAUCAGUGUGUGUGUUAGUGGAAGCGUCUGGAAAGGCGCGCGAUACAGGGUGACAGCCCCGUACACAAAAAUGCACAUGCUGUGAGCUCGAUGAGUAGGGCGGGACACGUGGUAUCCUGUCUGAAUAUGGGGGGACCAUCCUCCAAGGCUAAAUACUCCUGACUGACCGAUAGUGAACCAGUACCGUGAGGGAAAGGCGAAAAGAACCCCGGCGAGGGGAGUGAAAAAGAACCUGAAACCGUGUACGUACAAGCAGUGGGAGCACGCUUAGGCGUGUGACUGCGUACCUUUUGUAUAAUGGGUCAGCGACUUAUAUUCUGUAGCAAGGUUAACCGAAUAGGGGAGCCGAAGGGAAACCGAGUCUUAACUGGGCGUUAAGUUGCAGGGUAUAGACCCGAAACCCGGUGAUCUAGCCAUGGGCAGGUUGAAGGUUGGGUAACACUAACUGGAGGACCGAACCGACUAAUGUUGAAAAAUUAGCGGAUGACUUGUGGCUGGGGGUGAAAGGCCAAUCAAACCGGGAGAUAGCUGGUUCUCCCCGAAAGCUAUUUAGGUAGCGCCUCGUGAAUUCAUCUCCGGGGGUAGAGCACUGUUUCGGCAAGGGGGUCAUCCCGACUUACCAACCCGAUGCAAACUGCGAAUACCGGAGAAUGUUAUCACGGGAGACACACGGCGGGUGCUAACGUCCGUCGUGAAGAGGGAAACAACCCAGACCGCCAGCUAAGGUCCCAAAGUCAUGGUUAAGUGGGAAACGAUGUGGGAAGGCCCAGACAGCCAGGAUGUUGGCUUAGAAGCAGCCAUCAUUUAAAGAAAGCGUAAUAGCUCACUGGUCGAGUCGGCCUGCGCGGAAGAUGUAACGGGGCUAAACCAUG
rnacentral:rRNA from 1 species